CACCGGCGGCUCGAGUGGUGGCCACUUUUAUUGGGUCUAAAGCGUCCGUAGCCGGCUUUGCAAGUCCCCUGGGAAAUCUGGCGGCUUAACCGUCAGGCGUCCAGAGGAUACUGCCAGGCUUGGGACCGGGAGAGGUGAGAGGUACCUCAGGGGUAGGGGUGAAAUCUUGUGAUCCCUGAGGGACCACCAGUGGCGAAGGCGUCUCACUAGAACGGGUCCGACGGUCAGGGACGAAAGCUGGGGGCACGAACCGG
rnacentral:rRNA from 1 species